rnacentral:rRNA from 1 species
UUGAACGCCGGCGGAAUGCUUUACACCUGCAAGUCGAGCGGCAGCGCGGCCUUCGGGCUGGCGGCGAGCGGCGAACGGGUGAGUAAUGCAUCGGAACAUGCCCAGUCGUGGGGGAUAACACUUCGAAAGAAGUGCUAAUACCGCAUACGUCCUGAGGGGGAAAGCGGGGGAUCGCAAGACCUCGCGCGAUUGGAGUGGCCGAUGUCAGAUUAGCUAGUUGGUGGGGUAAAGGCCUACCAAGGCGACGAUCUGUAGCUGGUCUGAGGGGAUGAUCAGCCACACUGGGACUGAGAAACGGCCCAGACCCCUAGGGGAGGCAGGAGGGGGGAAUUUGGGAAAAGGGGGGCAACCCUUAUCCAGCCAUCCCGGGGGAGGGAAGAAGGCCUUGGGGUUGUAAAGCUUUUUCGGGAGGAACGAAACGGGGGGCUCUAAAAUAGCCCGCUAAUGAGGGUACCUGAAGAAGAAGCACCGGCUAACUACGU